GCUUCUCUUGAGAGCGGCGGACGGGUGAGUAAUGCCUAGGAAUCUGCCUAGUGGUGGGGGAUAACGUUCGGAAACGGACGCUAAUACCGCAUACGUCCUACGGGAGAAAGCGGGGGAUCUUCGGACCUCGCGCCAUUAGAUGAGCCUAGGUCGGAUUAGCUAGUUGGUGAGGUAAUGGCUCACCAAGGCGACGAUCCGUAACUGGUCUGAGAGGAUGAUCAGUCACACUGGAACUGAGACACGGUCCAGACUCCUACGGGAGGCAGCAGUGGGGAAUAUUGGACAAUGGGCGAAAGCCUGAUCCAGCCAUGCCGCGUGUGUGAAGAAGGUCUUCGGAUUGUAAAGCACUUUAAGUUGGGAGGAAGGGUAGUAACUUAAUACGUUGCUACUUUGACGUUACCGACAGAAUAAGCACCGGCUAACUUCGUGCCAGCAGCCGCGGUAAUACGAAGGGUGCAAGCGUUAAUCGGAAUUACUGGGCGUAAAGCGCGCGUAGGUGGUUCAGUAAGUUGGAAGUGAAAUCCCCGGGCUCAACCUGGGAACUGCUUUCAAAACUGCUGAGCUAGAGUACGGUAGAGGGUGGUGGAAUUUCCUGUGUAGCGGUGAAAUGCGUAGAUAUAGGAAGGAACACCAGUGGCAAAGGCGACCACCUGGACUGAUACUGACACUGAGGUGCGAAAGCGUGGGGAGCAAACAGGAUUAGAUACCCUGGUAGUCCACGCCGUAAACGAUGUCAACUAGCCGUUGGAAUCCUUGAGAUUUUAGUGGCGCAGCUAACGCAUUAAGUUGACCGC
rnacentral:rRNA from 1 species